AGAGUUUGAUCAUGGCUCAGAUUGAACGCUGGCGGCAUGCCUUACACAUGCAAGUCGAACGGCAGCGGGUCCUUCGGGAUGCCGGCGAGUGGCGAACGGGUGAGUAAUGCAUCGGAACGUGCCCUGAAGUGGGGGAUAACUCUCCGAAAGGAGGGCUAAUACCGCAUAUUCUGUGCGCAGGAAAGCAGGGGAUCGCAAGA
rnacentral:rRNA from 1 species